GAUGAACGCUGGCGGCGUGCCUAAUACAUGCAAGUCGAGCGAACAGAUGAGGAGCUUGCUCCUCUGACGUUAGCGGCGGACGGGUGAGUAACACGUGGAUAACCUACCUAUAAGACUGGGAUAACUUCGGGAAACCGGAGCUAAUACCGGAUAAUAUAUUGAACCGCAUGGUUCAAUAGUGAAAGACGGUUUUGCUGUCACUUAUAGAUGGAUCCGCGCCGCAUUAGCUAGUUGGUAAGGUAACGGCUUACCAAGGCAACGAUGCGUAGCUGACCUGAGAGGGUGAUCGGCCACACUGGAACUGAGACACGGUCCAGACUCCUACGGGAGGCAGCAGUAGGGAAUCUUCCGCGAUGGGCGAAAGCCUGACGGAGCAACGCCGCGUGAGUGAUGAAGGUCUUCGGAUCGUAAAACUCUGUUAUUAGGGAAGAACAAAUGUGUAAGUAACUAUGCACGUCUUGACGGUACCUAAUCAGAAAGCCACGGCUAACUACGUG
rnacentral:rRNA from 1 species